GUAGACUCAAACAGCGAAGAGAGCGACUCUGACCCAAGUGAUGUAGGAGCGCUAGACAGUGAUCUGGAACAAGAAAAACAGGUGUCGUACCAGUGAAUUGUGUACCGGGAAGAUGUCAUCAAGAUGAAGAAACUGAUGAAAGAAGAACUUGGUGCCGGCAAGAAGAGAAAAUGUGCUGGAGUUUUUAACCAGGUCGGAAGAGAUCCAUCAGUACAUGUGUGGGAUGCUGAGACAUUGAAAUCUGUCAGUACUCAAAGGUCAUCAUGAGAGGGGUUUGUGUGCAGUUGACUUCUCAGGGGUCACAAAGAUAAGAUAUUUGUUGUGAAAUGGAAUCCUUUUGAUGCUAACAAGCUUAUCACAGUCGGUGUGAAACAUAUCAAAUUCUAGAUGCAGGCAGGUGGAGGUUUUACAUCCAGCCGAGGAACUUUUGGAAAGAUCGCCAAGAACUGUGAUAUGUUGUGUAUAGCUUUUGGAAAAACUGAAGACGUAACAUAUUCUGGUGGCAGUGAUGGUAACAUGUUUGUCUGGGCUGGAACUAAUUUACAGAAAAUUGUCAAAGCUCACGAGGGACCAUUGUUUGUUAUGCACUCACUUG